GAUGAACGCUAGCGGCAGGCCUAAUACAUGCAAGCCAAGGGCUGUUUGGGGUAGUAAUACAUCAAACAACCGGCGGCCGGGUAGGUAAGGCGUAGACAAUCUACCCUAGACAGGAGGAAAGUCCUCGGAAACGAGGUAUAAUAGCCCAUAAGAUUGCGUAGAGGCAUCUUUAAGCAAUUAAAGCAGCAUGGCGGUAUAGGCUGGGCGUGGGUCAGAUUAGCUAGUUGGUGAGGUAAAGCCACACCAAGGCGAUGAACGGUACGGGGUCUGAGAGGAAGAUCCCCCAGACGUGCAAUGCGGCACGGGCCCGAAUCCUACGGGAGGCAGCAGUAAGGAAUAUUGGACGAUGGAUGAAAGCCUGAUCCAGCCAUGCCGCGUGCAGGAAGAAGGGCCUAUGGGUUGUAAACUGCUUGUGAGAGAGGGAAGUAAGUUCGAUGCGUCGCUCGAUGAUAUUACUUCUCGAAUAAGCAUCGGCUAACUUCGUG
rnacentral:rRNA from 1 species